rnacentral:rRNA from 1 species
CCCCUAGAUGUUCUGGGCCGCACGCGCGCUACACUGAACAGUUCAACAAGUCUUAACCUUGGCCGAUAGGUCUGGGUAAUCUUUGAACGCUGUUCGUGAUUGGGAUAGACCUUUGCAAUUAUGGGUCUUCAACGAGGAAUUCCUAGUAAACGCAAGUCAUCAGCUUGCAUUGAUUACGUCCCUGCCCUUUGUACACACCGCCCGUCGCACCUACCGAUUGAAUGGUCCGGUGAAAUCUCGGGACGGCGGCUUGGUCGCUUGCGUCCGACUGCUGAAACUUGAUUAAACCAUAUCAUUUAGAGGAAUGUGAAGUCGUANCA